UUUGGUGACAUUGGUGGGGUGGACACACCUGUUCCCAUGCCGAACACAGAAGUUAAGCACCCUAAUGCCGACGAUAGUUGGAAACAGCAAAAAUAGGGCGUCGCCAGCU
rnacentral:rRNA from 2 species